rnacentral:rRNA from 1 species
CCUACGGGUGGCAGCAGUGGGGAAUAUUGCACAAUGGGGGAAACCCUGAUGCAGCAACGCCGCGUGGGUGAAGGAGCGUCUCGGCGCGUAAAGCCCUGUCAGCGGGGAAGAAGAAAGACGGUACCCGACCAAGAAGCCCCGGCUAACUACGUGCCAGCAGCCGCGGUAAUACGGAGGGGGCGAGCGUUAUCGGGAAUUACUGGGUGGAAAGGGAGCGUAGACGGCGGGAUAAGCCUGAAGUGGAAGGCCGCGGCCCAACCGCGGAACUGCUUUGGGAACUGUUUUUCUGGAGUGUGGGGGGGGUAAGCGGAAUUCCUGGUGUAGCGGUGAAAUGCGUAGAUAUCAGGAGGAACACCGGUGGCGAAGGCGGCUUACUGGACCAUAACUGACGUUGAGGCUCGAAAGCGUGGGGAGCGAACAGGAUUAGAUACCCUUGUAGUC